rfam:Arabis alpina cultivar Pajares chromosome 7, whole genome shotgun sequence.
UGUUGAUGAUGAUAAUCCAAAGGCUUGUUUCUCAAAACAUUCGCAGAUGCCGCCUAAGAACUUUCGCCUUUCGCCAGGCUUGAGAGUUAAUGCUGUUUUAUCCUUCCUUGGAUGUCUGAAACU